AUCUACGGCCAUACCUAGGCGAAAACACCAGUUCCCGUCCGAUCACUGCAGUUAAGCGUCUGAGGGCCUCGUUAGUACUAUGGUUGGAGACAACAUGGGAAUCCGGGGUGCUGUAAACUUCU
rnacentral:rRNA from 1 species